AGGACCUGGAUAUUGAGGAAUAUAACACGAGGAGGUUCCACUUCGCCGAGCACAAGCCGCCAUCAAGACAGAGCAAGAGCCUCACUGAGAGUCAUGAGAAGAUCAGCAAGCUACAAGCCUGGUGUAAGUUCCAAUAUAAGUUCAUUGGUAAGUGCUUCAAGAUGUACACAUCUAUGCAGAAGAAGUUAAACCGCUCCUCUACUAGCACUUCUGCUCCA
rnacentral:pre_miRNA from 1 species